CUUGCUCAUAAACUGCUGCAGUAGCCUCUUCUGUGCUUCUACCCUCAUCUCCACCCAAUCCAUUUCCCACAUACAUAGCGCCUUAAUACCCUUAUUAUCCUUAAAAAAAAAAAUCAGAUCAUUGCCACUUUAAGCUCCAUAGGUUUAAACCUGCUACCCUAGCCUAUAAGAUUUUAUAGCCAUGUUCUGUGAGCAGUGUAGAACUUACCAUGUGCCAGUCACUGACACUGGCGUGCCCCAGGUAUCAGUUGUUUAAAUAAGCCUGAAGUUACUUGUUGGUUU
rnacentral:lncRNA from 1 species